GCGCUCUUAGUUCAGUCCGGUAGAACGCAGGUCUCCAAAACCUGAUGUCGUAGGUUCAAAUCCUACAGGGCGCG
rfam:Selaginella moellendorffii mitochondrial scaffold SELMOscaffold_175, whole genome shotgun sequence.